rnacentral:tmRNA from 1 species
ACAAUAAAUGAACCCAAAGGCAGUAUUUGGUAUUUCCAUUAAAAAUUAAAGGGAAUAAUAAUAGAAUUGACAUUUAUU